UACGUAGGGGGCGAGCGUUGUCCGGAGUUACUGGGCGUAAAGCGCGCGCAGGCGGUUCUUUAAGUCUGAUGUGAAAGCCCACGGCUCAACCGUGGAGGGUCAUUGGAAACUGGAGAACUUGAGUACAGAAGAGGAAAGCGGAAUUCCACGUGUAGCGGUGAAAUGCGUAGAGAUGUGGAGGAACACCAGUGGCGAAGGCGGCUUUCUGGUCUGUAACUGACGCUGAGGCGCGAAAGCGUGGGGAGCAAACAGG
rnacentral:rRNA from 1 species